rnacentral:sRNA from 1 species
UAUACGUUUGGUAAUGAAGCGAAGUAUAUUUAUGAUUCGGGC